UCCAUCACCAAUGGAAGGAUGCAGGGAUGCAGCGAUGGAAGGACCAUCGGCUCGUCGCGGAUGGUACCUGCCUUGGGAAGGCUGCUAGCCGCUGGCAUGCAGUUAUGGUUCCGGCUGCUUUGGAUACAUGUCCAGGAUGGCAACAAAAACAGGAGGUGUCUCCAGCCCACACAGCUGCAGUUGGCAUGGUGGAUCACAAGUUGUGCCGAUCUGGGAUAAGCAAUCGAUUGCUGUACUACAACCUGCGCUUGCUGUUGUGUAACAAAUCUCGAAGGCUGCAGAUGAUGCAGACUGGUGUCUGCCAGAAUGGUGGGUGAGCCGAAACACAACUGGAAAACUAGCACACCAACAUCACUGUUGUGCUUUCCCAUUGCCUUCAGUCUGAGCAUAACACAUGAUGCUGGUUUUGGCGUAUAAAGUCCUAAAGCAUUUGGAGCCUCUAUAUAUUGAAGAUCACUUCAUUUCCUGUAUUCCAUUGCAAUGUCUCUGGGCCCUGGGUGAAAAAGGCCUCUUCAGAGGGCUUUCUGGGCAACAGAAACUAACAAGGAAGGCGAGAGAAAGAUGUAUUCUAACGGGCAGUUCCCAAAGCCAUUAGUCCUUGGGGCUUCUUGCAGAAGGAAUGUCAAUGUCAUAUGAACACCAGGGGCAGUGCUUCCCUGAGGCAGGCUGGGAUGGUGGCUUCAGGUGCAGGCACAAGGAGGGAGGCAGGAGGCAGGGAGUGCCCUCUUCCUCCUGCCACUUUGGCAUCACCCCACAGGCCUCCCUGCCACCCACUCUUCCUCACUCCACUGGGAUAUGCUGUUCAUUUUUAACUCCUCACUCUGCUGGAGCACACCAGGCACAUCCUUGCCACCGCUACCUGGCUUAGGGACAUGGGCUGAGACUGUUCACAUGUUGCUCUUGCCUCAACAGAAUGACCUGCGAAUACUGAACACCCACUCGUAGAUGUGAGCAUCAGAUUGUCUUUUGCCUCAGGCAGCAAAAUGAUUUGGGCUGUGCCUGUAGGACGCCUUGAGCAUAUGGGAUAAGUUGAGAAAUAUAUCAAUCAUCAUCAUCAUCAUCAUCAUCAUCAUCAUCAUUAUCAACAACAAAUCUAAUAUUUUCAGUUAUCUACUUAAUGUAUAGCCUGUGUUUCCACUCAAAGAACCCCCAAGUGGCUCAAAAAAACAUGUUAAAACAGCAAAAUACAUUAAAAACUCCCAUAAAAUCUUAUAAACACUGGCAAGAAGAGCCAGGAGCAUUCCCAGAUGGGGCUUUUAGCUCGCAUCUCCACUGAAAUGGACGAUGUGCAUUCACUUUUCAGCCAGAUUUACCCUGAAGUCUGUGCAACAUAUCAGAGGGUUCUGAUAUGUACAUAAUUCGCGUUUCCCCCUCCAUAUUGAAGCCUAGCCCAGUUUAUGUACGGGGUUUAAAAAAAAAUCCACUUUUUGCAUCAGGGUAUCCAAUAUGCCCCGAACUCCCAGUAAAGCCUCUCAAUAAACCCAUGUUAAAGCCUGUUGUCUGGGAAAGCUCCCAUUACCUCCCUAGCCUUCCUCAAUCUGCAGUUGCCUGGUGGGGUAAAAAGGCCUUCACCUGCUUGCAAAAGGUUCCAAAUAGAUGCUUCCCAGUGAAUUUCUCAGGGGAGAGCAUUCCAGAAUUUAGAAGCCACCACAGAGAAGACCCUGCUCUUGCUAGAGAAUAAGCUAGCACCCACAAGUGGUGGCCCACCGAAGCAAGCCUUCACUAGAUAUUCUGUGCGCAUGGAUUGGGUGGGGUGGGGCAUCUCCUAAGGCGGAAGACACUCUCUCCACUUGCCCACAUGUUGAAGCAGCUGCCGUCCCAAACAGCACGUACAAUACAAUAGAGAGAGCAAGAUGUGAGCAGCUCUGCAGGCUCCCCCUCCAAGCAGACUGGCAGAAGAUCAAGCAGGAGUGCUUCCCCAGAUCCCUAAAGCAGAAUGAUUUAUUAAUUUUUUUGCCCUGCCAAGCAGGUUCUUCUGAGCAAAGCUAUCAGCUAAUGGGCACCGCUGGCCAGCUGGCAGGGCAAGCAUGAUCCCCCAUCCGAGAGCCCACAGUCAGCAGUCACUCACACCAUGAAUUAUAGAUGCCCCUUGAUUUCCGCUCUUUGGUAUUCCCAGCUGGCAGGAACCAUGUUGAUCUUCUCCGACAUUUCCAGCAGGGCAAAACUGGGCAGUCCAAGGGUGGAGAAAUGAGACAGGUCCGUGUGUGGGCAGGAGAGGGUAUAUUUUUUGGAGACUCCCAUAAGAGACAACCUCUCUUCUGUCAGCAAUGCCUCAGAAUGGCAUAAGGCAUCUCUACAGCUUAGAGGAGGAGUCCCCCGGUAUAUUCCAUUCCCACCAUUCCCGUAGAAAGAAAGCAUGCCAUGUUCCAUAUUUAAUCUGAUGUUUUUCUUGGUUAGGUGAGCACUUUCUGAGUCCCAAUGAGCCACAUACUGUUCUGAACAACUGACAUUCUGAACCCCUGCUCGCUGGGCAGAGUCAGAGCCACUUUCAAAGCGGCGAUUCCCUUAUAUUUAACAUGGGGAGAGCAACCCACCCUAUCCGACCCCAGCACAGCUGGUGUUGCUGGUGUCUCCCUUGUGUUUCUUCUUAAAUUGUGAGCCCCUUUGGGACAGGGAAGCAUUUUCUCAUUCCUCCUCCCCAUUCCCCCCCCCCAUUCCUUCUGCUAUGUAAACUGCUUUGUGAACUUUUUGUUGAAAAGCAAUACCUUAACAAUAGUGAUAGUAAUAGUAAUAGAAAUAAUAACACAUUCCACAGGUUUGUCAAAUGCGUAAUUUGUCUUUUCCUUGAUUGAGAAAAAACUCAUUUUAGUAAAGCCUUGGAACUGAGUACAUAUUUUGAAACUGAGUACCUAUGAAGACAAAUGUAAUUGUGCCCCUUGUUACCCAGCCUGCUCUGCUUCCCCUUUCCUGAUAUCCUAGCAACGGGCUUCACACAAGUUAGUGGUAUGGAACAGCAUGGAGCUUCUGUGUGUUUCAGUUUAACCUUCACACGUUUUUAAGCACAGGCCUUAAGACCUUGCUGUCUUUGCCCCCACCUGAAAUACCUUUUCUCUCCUCCUCCACACUGUUUCGGCCACAAGUUGCCACUUGUCUGUUUGUCACCUGGGCAGCUGGGAAUUGAAGUCCUAGGCCCAAUGUCAGGAUAUAGAUGCUUAAAGUCUCAGAAUGGCUCUUCACCCAGCUGUGCUUUGCUGUCAGGGCGUGGACACAUGCACACACACAUCCACACACACACACACACGGCUUUUGCUUCUUGUGCUUGUGCUGCUCCGCUCCGCUUGGGAUGCUGGGCGAAGAGCAUAAGGUUCUCAGGUUUCCAGGAGCCCUCAGCAAACUACCCUCCACCGCCCCCUCCUACCUGGGCAUAAGGGUUGCCCACUCCGACUGAAGCUAUUUAUGGAGAUCCCCCCACCCCCCGCAUAGAGUGCUGCCCCAUCACAGGAGCACAGGAAGUUGUGUUAUACUGAGUCAGGCCCUUGGCCCAUCUAGCUUAGAGUUGUCUACACUGACUGGCAGCGGCUCCUCCAGGGUUUCAAGCAGGAGUCUCUCUACCUGGAGAUGGCAGGGAUCAAACCUGAAAAGCAGAUGCUCUCUACCACUGAGCUAGGAAGAUGGGUUUGGGGGGGGGGGAGAAGAGAGAGAGAGAGAGAGGUUUGGUUCUCUCUUCUUGGCCUUGUGCUCCUGCUGCUCCACUAGAGUAGAGAACCAAGGUCUGUUCUGAGAGAACGGUGAACUACAUUAGCAAAAGCCCUGGCUGGCCCAAGUGGGAAAGAGGGGGGAAGAGUGCCCAGACCAAAGUGUUUCCUGUCCCUUCCUCAGGGGCAGCCCAAGGUAUUGUGGCACCUGCAGCGAGGUACCAAACACUCACUGCUUUGCCCCAGGACCCAGGUGGGGGUCAGUCCCCUUUCAAAACUGACCCUUGCAAGUUUUGAAAGUGGGGCAGGAGUGGAGAGGUGGGAGGGCAGCAGCAGCAGCAGCAGCAGCAGCCUCCUUACAUAGGAACAUAGGAAGCUGCCAUAUACUGAGUCAAACCAUUGGCCCAUAUAGCUUAGUAAUAAUAAUCUCUUCAUUUCGGUCAGCGACCAGCAUGAUCUAGCUUAGUAUUGUCUUCACAGACUGGCAGCGGCUUCUCCAAGGUUGCAGGCAGGAGUCUCUCUCAGCCCUAUCUUGGAGAUGCCAGAGUGGCCCCAUCCCCUAAGAGGAAUAUCUUACAAUCUGCUCACACAUGUAGUCUCCCAUUCAGUUGCAAACCAGAGUGAACCCCGCUUAGCAACGGAGACAACCCUGGUGUUGGUUUAUAUUGCUGGCAAAUUCAUUUCAGGUGUUAAAGUAAAGAGGUGUUGGUUUUACAUUUAAUCUCAGCCCUUUCUUGGAGAUGCCAGGGAGGGAACUUGGAACCUUCUGCUCUUCCCAGAGCAGCUCCAUCACCUGAGGGGAAUAUCUUACAGUCCUCACACUUCUAGUCUCCCUUUCAUAAGCAACCAGGGUGGACCCUCCCAGCUAUUUAUGGACUUUGUGCUUCUUGCAUGUGCUCCUUGUGCUUCUUGCAUGCUUUGUAAGGAAUGUGAGGGGCCGUGUUCCUUGAAGAGCUUGCAAGGGUCAGCUUGCAUAUAUAUGUUUACCUUGUUUAAGGUUUUUCCACGGAUUUCUGUUUAUGCUUUGGAACAGACCAAAGGGCCAUCACAAGCAGCAAUAUUUUGUUUACAACCAUGGCCAGCCAGAUGCCUCUGGGAAGCUCACAAUUAGGACCUGAAAGUAGCAUCCCUCCCUGGAGAUAUACUGCUUCUGCUUUUGGAGGUUCCAUUUAGCUCCCAUGGCUAAAAGCCACAUUUUAAUGUCUUAUUGAUUGCUGUUGUUUAUUGUCGUUCAUUGAUUUGUUGUCUUUUUACGCUUAUGAUGCUUUGCAAUUUCUGGUGAACCACCCUGGUAAUAUUGUACUGAUGGAUGGCAAAGAUCUCUGUAAAAUAAAUAAAUAAAACAGACCCAUC